rnacentral:rRNA from 1 species
UACGGAAGGCAGCAGUGGGGAAUAUUGCACAAUGGGCGAAAGCCUGAUGCAGCUAUGCCGCGUGUAUGAAGAAGGCCUUAGGGUUGUAAAGUACUUUCAUCGGGGAGGAAAAACAAAACUAAUAAUUUUAUUUCUUGACGUUACCCGAAAAAAAGACACCGGCUAACUACCGUGCCAGCAGCCGCGGUAAUAACGGAGGGUGCUAGCGUUAAUCAGAAUUAACUGGGCGUAAAGAAGCACGUAGGUGGUUUUUUUAAGUUCAGAUGUGAAAUCCCUCGGGCGUUAACCUAGGAACUGCAUUUUGUAAACUGAAAUACUAGAGUAUCGUAGAGGGAGGUAGAAUUCUAGGUGUAGCGGUGAAAUGCGUAGAUAUCUGGAGGAAUACCUGUGGCGAAAGCGGCCUCCUAAACGAAUACUGACACUGAGGGUGCGAAAGCGUGGGGAGCAAAACAGGGAUUAGAUACC